rnacentral:lncRNA from 1 species
AGAGAAAAAUGUAUGUUCUGUUAUUGAUACAGGUUCCAUAUGUGGAUAUAGAACAUGAAGGAACCUACUGGUGUCAUGUAUAUAAUGACCGAGACAGUCAAGAUAGCAAGAAGGCAGAAGUCACCAUAGGUAAGCCGUAGUAUCACAGCGUAAGAUAUAAGCUGCAUACACUGGAGGGGGUGAGCAAAGAAACCCUAAACAUCACAUAUAAGGAGUUACAUUGUUUUAUCUGAGAAUUUUAGAGAAUUCAUACUACAUUAAUUCUCUAAGUUUUGUAAAAUGAACAAAAACAAAAAACUGAAAAAUUUUAGUUCUUUUGUAUUACAGUUUAUCAUAAAUACUUAAUAUCAUAAUAUAAAUAUUUGUAUCAAAAUAUAUUUCUUCUAGUUCUGAAUUAGAAAAAGAUUGAUUUGGUGAAAAAGAUUUUCAAUAAAACAUAUAAAGUCAGAGACACAUAAAUGAAUAAUAAUUAUUGAUCAGCAUUCCCUAUUGUGAGUUAUGUGGUUUUGGAGUUUGUUCUUUUUACAUUGAAUACAUUUACAGUGACUUUGUCAAGAGUAGGAACAUUGAUGCAUAUGUUGCUUAGAUAACAUGAUUCUGUGGUGUUUAUCUCUGUUGACUUAAUGACUACCCUUCCUAAGAUUAUGAGUUACAAUAUGUUCACAUUUGUUUUCUCUAACAUAAGGAAGAACAGAUGAGGCAGUGGAGUGCACUGAAGGUAGUGCAAUCCUUUGGUUCAAGACCAAGUCUCCUGCAUGCUGCAUGCUGGUUACUCUGGGGAGAGGUGGAGUGUCCUAGCUCACUACGUGCAGUGAUAGAAAAAAUACUAGCUCUAAUAGGUCGUCGUUUUUUUUUUUUAAGAUUUAUUUUAUUAUUAUAUGUAAGUACACUGUAGCUGUCUUCAGACACACCAGAAGUGGGCGUCAGAUCUCAUUACGGUGGUUGUGAGCCACCAUGUGGUUGCUGGAAUUGAACUCAGGACCUCUGGAAGAGCAGUCAGUGGCUCAUAACCACUGAGCCGUCUCACCAGCCCUAAUAGGACGUUUUCAUUGAGGGACACCAUGUCUUACUCUUAAAGUUUUGUACAUUUUCACUAUUAAACACUUCUAAAGUAAUCUUCAGCUGAUUUCCUUUUGUACAUAAGACCCAUAGAGUUUCUCUAUAAAUUAUUUGAAAUAGUAAAUAUUCGCAAUUCUUAAUGUUAAUUUUAAUUGUAAUAAAAUAUAUUUAAAAUAUUAAAUAAGCAUUUGUCUACAUUAUUUUAUUUCUUAAGAUACACAUUAAUGGCAAACAGUUUCUAUAAAAGAUUUCAGGAUGGAUAUAUUAUUUGAUAUAUUUUAUCAAUUAUUAAAUAUUUUGAAAAUAAUAUUGAUAAGGAUUUUUAAAACUACAGUGUUUUAGAUUAUCAACAUGCCACUUUCACCGUGGAAAGAGAACUGAAAAUCCAUCUUAGCAUAAACUUCUAACUUAUUUUAAUUAGCCAAAACAUUGUACUUAAAUUGUAAUAAGUAAAUAUUAAAACUUGACUACUUCCCUUUUGUGUACUAUCACAUUGAUUUAAAAAAUUAGGGUUGUGGGAGCAAAGUAUUUUUUCAAUUGCUGCUUCCUUGAACUGUUACGUCAUAUUUCUUAGGUUCUACUUGGGUAAAAUAAGAUGAGUCAUGUUAAAUCACACAUUUCCUGAUUUUCCUAUCAUUCAUCUCUAUGGUAACAUGUAAACUAAUAAUAAUUACUGUUUUGAUUCUAAUCAUAAUUUGAACCAGAAUUCUCUUACAAGGAGUUCUAAUCCCACAUCUGUUAAUCUUAUUGAUGGGAAACCAUGUACAGAAAUCCUAACCAAACUCCUUUUCUCUCUUAUAUUUUUUUGCCUAAUUGCAUGUGUGUUUGUUUCUUUAAACUUUCUAACUUAUUUUGUCUUCAUAAAAUUUAAUAAGUAACAAAUUGAUGAUGGCUGUUGUUUUAGGGCUUCUGCUCAGAUUAUUUAUCUAUUCUGUAUGAAAAGUGUAUAAAGGAUGCAAGUUAACUUGAAGCUGUUCUACCUCCCUCAGAAGCACACCAUACCUGAUCUAACCAUUUAAAAAAACAGACAAAUCCCAAGUGACAGGGAACAUUCUACUGUCAAAACCAAAAUGGUCGUUAAAAACAAGGAGUGCCUGAGCAGCUAUCACAACCAAGCAUGUCAGGAGACACAGUAACUGCUUCUUCUAUCCUACAUAGAUCUUGGGGAGAAAACAAAUGUUAUGAUAAGAGUAACAUACUAACAUGAGAUAUUAGUAAUAGGGAAACCAGGUUUGGUAUGCACAGCAACCUUCCUUUGCAAUAGUCCACAGUCGCUCAUCACGUGUCCUGGUGUCUUAGAGUUAAAGGUUUAUUAAUUUUUGAAAGAUCAUUUAUGAAUAAGUAUCUAAAACAUUGAACAAAUGGUGAAUAAGUUUAAGUUUUUGUAAUUUAGUUAAAGUGAAACAGUUUAGAAGUCCUAAGUGUUCUUACCUGUUCAGGAUUUGUAUGGCUUCACUUAACUUUGAAAAAUUCUCAACUAAUAAUGAACUGUAACAUGACAUAACAGCUCAUAACUGCUUUCUCAUAGUCAUACUAUUUGUGCUAAGUUGGCAGUUAGAUUAUUUCAACUUAAUCUGUUUUUUCUUACUCUAUUUUAGAUGAAUUAAACAAUUUGGGGCAUCCUGGUAAGUAUUAUAAACAGUAAAGGUGCUAUAGACAUUCUUGCCUACAUUCUUAGACUAUUGAACUUAUUUACAUGAAGUUCAAUUUAAAGCACGUAAAAUAUAAAAAUAUUAUUGAUUACAAGACCAUAAAGGUUGAAAAAGUAUUUUGGAUAACAAUAAAAUAUCAAUGCUUGGGCCAAUAAUAUAGCCAAGUGAGUAGAAGUACCUACUGCCAUUCCUGAAUACCUGUGUUUGACCCCCAGAGCCCACAUAGUGGAGCGAGAAAGCUAAUUCUUGCACAUUUUCCUCUUAACCUCUACAUGUGCACCAUGCCCCCAACACACAAACAAAAUAAGUAGAUAAGUGUUAUAAAAAAGAAUUGAGAACUUUGUUUUUGUUCUGCUGUGUUCCUGGGGAUCAAACCCAGGGUCUUGUAUAUGCUGUGUCAAGUGUUUGACCGCUGAGCUGCAACUGCUCAGCAGUGAAGCUUUUUACUCACGUUGCUCCUUAUAAAGGAAGGAGGUCCAUUGUUUUUAAUGUGGAAGACUGGACCGUACUGAUGGAGUGGCAUGUUCAUUUCUAAACUGUCAGACAUAGAACAUCCCUGAAGUGGUUGGGGAGGCGCUGUCAUCAGAACUGAAAGGCAGUUAGUGAAGAGAGUUGGCAGUAGAACUAUACAGUGGUCGGUAACUAUUAAGAGACUAACAAUGGCAGUCUCUAGGCAAGCUUUGAAAGCUUUGAUCAGAACGGAUUUCUGAACAAGCUAAGGUUAAAAAAAAAAAGCCAUCGUGUAAUAAAGGACAUUUCAGUAAUAUAAUAAAGACACAGGAUAUCAGCAUACGCUGUGGGCAUUCUGAAAGACACUGACAGAACCUAUGAAUAGAUGUAAUCAAAUCAUACAGAAAUGCAUUAAGAAGGCAUGAGGAUAUUUAAUAUUUGCAGAAAGCCUGAUGGUCCCCCUAUUUUAUUACCAUAAUUAGUUUGCUUGAUUUUGUUCGUUUGAUGAAGCUGGGGAUAGUGCUGGGGGCGGAGGCUGGUGUGCACUGGCUACUUACUCACUGUACCUCUGAGCGGUUCCUCUAGCGCUGUUGGCUUAGUUUUGUAUUUCAUUCAAAGACUUGUUACUGUAAGUUCUGUCUGGUCUCUGCUGACUGCACGUGAGCAAAUUAGGCAAAACAAAAAGCCAUGUGACCAUUAGGUUAUUUUUGCUAUAGUAUCUUCGUAUUCAUUUGCAGCUAAAGAAUUGCUUCAAAUUUCCUGAACUGACAACUAUUUGAAAAUAUCCUAGUAAUUGUUUCUCUUGGUGUUGAUAGAACCCCUUUCCCUACCUUUGUCCCCUAUAUAUUGACCUUUUAAAGAGUUGUGAAAUUGCUUCAUAAAAACUUCAGUAUAUUCCCACCACUAAGUGUUUAACAUUUUUCAGGCUUGUUUUUCCUUAUUUUCAAGAAUCAUAGAAACCAAACCUUUGAGUGUAAAGAAACUGAUGUGUGGUGAGGCUUGUAAUAGGCUUCCACAUCAUCUGUAGUAUUAGUGUGCAGAUAAACUAACCCUCCCUCCAAGUAUUGGGCACACAGGAGGUUGAGCUUCAUCUUUUCCUGUGUCGCUUCCUAGUGGUACUCGAAAGUGAAUAUGAUUUCAUUCUAUGUAUGAUAGUAUAAGCCCAUAUAUUUUUAUCAAAAUUCUUAUAAUUUUAAAUUAGCUACUAGUAACUAUAGUCUACAUUUUUCCUUCUAUUACUCUUAUUUAUGAAGCACCAUAUUGUGACCAUAUAUAUAUAUAUAUAAUGAUCCAGUCCAAGUAAUUAGCAUUUUAUCUACUUGGAUAUUAUUAAUGUAUGGGUUGGGGGCCUUAACAGCUUCUCCUUUAAUUAUUCUUAAAUUCAUAAGUUAGAGACACAGUUGCCCUAGUAUGCUAUACAACAUUAAAUCCACUUCCCUUCUGUUUUUGUGUCCUCUUCACCCUCUGACUGUCUCCCCUUCACUUUGUAGCCUCAGUGACCUCUUCUAUUUAUAGUGUUUUAGUUGAUACUGCUGCUGUCUGCAUUCAUUGCUUUUGUUACCUCAUUAGCUCUGAAGAUUCACCAUGAAUAACAGCAUCUGUUUGUUCUUUUAUCCUUGUCCAGAUAAUAAAGAACAAACUGGCCAGCCUUUGGGUGAGUUAAGUUUAAAGUACAUGUUCAAAUGUACUUACAGUAUUUAACUUCAAUUUUUUAUUUUUGUGAAGGAAUUUACAAUAUUUAACUUGAUUGAUUUAUGAUUGUUUGAGAGAUAUUGGACCAGAUUUUUAUUUUGGAUAAAAGAAAUUAUGGAAGAAAGCCCUUAAAAAUAUUUUUGGUUUUUUUGGGGGGUUCUUUGAGAGGGGGAGGUUGGCUUCAAGUAGUUUUUAAGGAGUGAUUUCUGUUUCUGGCAACACAGAAACAAAAGAAGCAUGCAUGCUCCAUGGGGAAGAAGUGGUUAUUGCUGCCUUCUGGUGAGGUAGGAAUUAGGAAAGUACCGUGUAGAUAGCAGUGAGUUUAGAAGUAUGCGUUCCCACCUACAAUUGGAAGAAAGGGGAGUAAGGUAAGAUGAAAUGGAUGGUGGCAUUUAAGUGGGCUUUGAGAACAAGACACAGGCAGCAUAUCCAGGAGGACCGCAUGUACAGGCUCAGUAGCCUAGUGCUUAAAGAGUAGACGUAGUGAACAUACUGGUGUACAGAAGUCAGGUUAAAAUGAUGCUAACUGGCUUUGAUCAGAAUUUUGAACACCUUUUUAUCUUUUUUGGUUUUGGUUUUUGAAAUGGUAUCUUAACAUUGCCCAAGCUGACCUCAAACUGCCUUUAAAAAAAAAAGCCUGCAACAUUUCAUUCUAAUGGUAAAAUUUCAUAGUCCAGUCUGUUCUUUCUAUAGGCACCACCACCUCAGUACUCACUUGGUAAGAAAGACCAACUGUAAUAGUCAUCCAGACAAAGCGGUAGCUGCUGUAUUCUGUAGUGAGAAGCACACGUGAUAAUUCUGCAUACAGAUAACAAGCUAAAAAGUAACUGAGCAGAGGCUGAAAGUUCAGCAGGAAUGACCAAUUACUUUACUUUCUGAAAGGUGUAGUGCGACACAUCUUGAUUCUCAGUGUUUGGGAGAGGCAGGCUGUGAGUUCGAGGCCAGCCUGGCCUACGGAGUAAAUUCCAGAACAGCUAAAGCUACAUAGUUAGACCCUGACUCGGAAAAAAAAAAAAAGGAAAAACACCCAGCUUAACUGUGAAACUUGCUCAGAGUUAAUGUGGCUGGUAGCUGGUUGGGGGUUGGUAUCUGGGGUCAGUGAUUAUGUAGCUUCUUGUUGGUUCAUUCUGUCCCAUGCCAUUUCACAGACAUUGAUAUUACAGGAACAAGAUAAGCUUUUAUCAUAAAGUUCACCAAGCAUCAAACAUCUCAUUUCUUUGCUACUUUUUAGUAAGUAGGAGAAUGAAUGUGGUAUGUGCCAUAGCAGAAAUGGAUAAAUAAUCUUAAAUUAUCCCUAAAAUAUGGUGAUCAGAUUUGUCUAGGGGAGUCAGGGAAGGCUUUAUGAGGAAAGGUUCAGGGAGAAUUUUCAAGGACACUUUAGGAGAUCUCAUGUAGCUAAGGCAGACUUGGUGAGUGUGGAAUUAUGGUGUGGGUGAACAAAUACAUUAGUACUGUUGGAGGGUGGAGUCUUAGGGUAGGACUGCUAGCCAUCAGGCAGGUGAUACAGUUACCUAUUAAGUAGCAAUAUUAGUCCAGAAUUCCCUAC